AGAUUGAACGCUGGCGGCAUGCUUUACACAUGCAAGUCGAACGGCAGCGCGGGGCAACCUGGCGGCGAGUGGCGAACGGGUGAGUAAUAUAUCGGAACGUACCCAAGAGUGGGGGAUAACGUAGCGAAAGUUACGCUAAUACCGCAUACGAUCUAAGGAUGAAAGCAGGGGACCGCAAGGCCUUGUGCUCCUGGAGCGGCCGAUAUCUGAUUAGCUAGUUGUAGGUAAGG
rnacentral:rRNA from 1 species